rnacentral:misc_RNA from 1 species
CAUGGUUUCAAGUUCAGCUUUCCUUAGGCUUUCACCACCAUUUGCUUGAUCUGAUAAUGGUCCUGCCUCUAGGUAAGCAAUUCCACUUUCUGUAUCCAGUAAAGCUGCAAGUCUUUCCAUUUCCAGAAAAUCAUUCAUGAGAUCAAUUUCUACAGAAGGAACCAUUAGGUUACUUCCAAGAGCCUUAUGAUUCUUGAAUUGAUG